UAUACAUGCAAGUCGAACGAACUUCCGUUAAUUGAUUAUGACGUACUUGUACUGAUUGAGAUUUUAACACGAAGUGAGUGGCGAACGGGUGAGUAACACGUGGGUAACCUGCCCAGAAGUAGGGGAUAACACCUGGAAACAGAUGCUAAUACCGUAUAACAGAGAAAACCGCAUGGUUUUCUUUUAAAAGAUGGCUCUGCUAUCACUUCUGGAUGGACCCGCGGCGUAUUAGCUAGUUGGUGAGGUAAAGGCUCACCAAGGCAGUGAUACGUAGCCGACCUGAGAGGGUAAUCGGCCACAUUGGGACUGAGACACGGCCCAGACUCCUACGGGAGGCAGCAGUAGGGAAUCUUCCACAAUGGACGCAAGUCUGAUGGAGCAACGCCGCGUGAGUGAAGAAGGGUUUCGGCUCGUAAAGCUCUGUUGUUAAAGAAGAACGUGGGUAAGAGUAACUGUUUACCCAGUGACGGUAUUUAACCAGAAAGCCACGGCUAACUACGUGCCAGCAGCCGCGGUAAUACGUAGGUGGCAAGCGUUAUCCGGAUUUAUUGGGCGUAAAGCGAGCGCAGGCGGUCUUUUAAGUCUAAUGUGAAAGCCUUCGGCUCAACCGAAGAAGUGCAUUGGAAACUGGGAGACUUGAGUGCAGAAGAGGACAGUGGAACUCCAUGUGUAGCGGUGAAAUGCGUAGAUAUAUGGAAGAACACCAGUGGCGAAGGCGGCUGUCUGGUCUGCAACUGACGCUGAGGCUCGAAAGCAUGGGUAGCGAACAAGGAUUAGAUACCCUGGUAGUCCAUGCCGUAAACGAUGAUUACUAAGUGUUGGAGGGUUUCCGCCCUUCAGUGCUGCAGCUAACGCAUUAAGUAAUCCGCCUGGGGAGUACGACCGCAAGGUGAAACUCAAAAGAAUUGACGGGGG
rnacentral:rRNA from 1 species